rnacentral:rRNA from 1 species
GAUGAACGCUGGCGGCGUGCCUAAUACAUGCAAGUCGAGCGAACAGAUGAGGAGCUUGCUCCUCUGACGUUAGCGGCGGACGGGUGAGUAACACGUGGAUAACCUACCUAUAAGACUGGGAUAACUUCGGGAAACCGGAGCUAAUACCGGAUAAUAUAUUUAACCGCAUGGUUCAAUAGUGAAAGACGGUUUUGCUGUCACUUAUAGAUGGAUCCGCGCCGCAUUAGCUAGUUGGUAAGGUAACGGCUUACCAAGGCAACGAUGCGUAGCCGACCUGAGGGGGUGAUCGGCCACACUGGAACUGAGACACGGUCCAGACUCCUACGGGAGGCAGCAGUAGGGAAUCUUCCGCAAUGGGCGAAAGCCUGACGGAGCAACGCCGCGUGAGUGAUGAAGGUCUUCGGAUCGUAAAACUCUGUUAUUAGGGAAGAACAAAUGUGUAAGUAACUAUGCACGUCUUGACGGUACCUAAUCAGAAAGCCACGGCUAACUACGUG